rnacentral:misc_RNA from 1 species
UCGUAUAACAGAGGUGCCGGGGCUGUCGCUGACUUUGUGCACGCCCUGGUGCUCUCACAAUCCAUCUCACACCCUUGUGCAUCACCGCGUGGGCACUCUCCUUUUGGUUCAUUCUGAAAGGGGGUGUUUGCGUUUUUAUACAAACCCAUCGCAUGUGUAGAAUGUCUUAAUAUUUGUGAUAAUGGGCAAUCAAUA